GGGCACCACAACAGGUCUCAUCUUCCGUCCCCAGCAAGCGUCCCACACGUUCAGUUAACUCUCACCCUCUCCCCUCCAUUUUUGGUUUCUUCUCUCCCUCCCUCCCUCCCUCCCGUCUCUCAAUCUUCUUCCUUCUUCUCCAAGACUUCAUGUUCUCAGACUAUGUGGGUGCGGGUGCUAUCUGGUUAGGGUCCUUCGUCUUGGCGCUCACGUUUGGCGAGCCUGAUGGGGCUUCCCAUUUCCUUUCCUGCCUUGCCUUCUUUCUUGAGCGGUCCCAUAUGCGUGUGGUUAAGAAGCAAAAGUUGUUUGAACCACAUCUUCAGAGCCAUUUCUUAAUCCUUCGUUCCCGCCCCGCCUCCUCCACCACCUCUCUCUCGAAGUUCGGAUUCUUCGUUCUCCGUGGCCACUCUAAUUUUUUUAUUUAUUCUUUUCUCCAAAGUUCUCACUUUGAAGGAUUUAGUUUCAAAUUGGAAGGGUGACCGUGAAAGCAUUGAUUGACCACAGCCUCCAGCAUAGGAUUCUCCAUGCUCGACGUCGACUCGCAGUUUGGAUCCGAAUACUGGAAUGUCCCCUUUCGUUCUGCACUCGAUAGCUUGUAAACAGAGAAAGCUAUUAAGAUGAAAGAGAGUAAGGAAGCGGAAACUGAAAAAGGGAUCAUGCUUUUGUAGAUGAUGAUAAUGAGGAGUGAUUGACGGUUUAUCACAGGAUAUCCAAUUUUCAGCUAUGAAUGGCUAUGAAUCAGAAAACACGCGACCUCUUAACUUAGCAAGUUCAUCUUUGGAUGGGAAAAAUUGAUGGAGGAAUGAUAUUCGAAGAAACCCAACACCUGUUCAUGAAUAAUUUGGUGUCUCCUUUUUCUUUAUUGUGAUUCAGUGUUACUCUUCCCCCCCCCCUACUGCACUCAGGUAUCAUAACUUUGCCAAAACAAUUCUGCUAUGCUCUAAGGAAGGGCUGAUGUUAAUGCUAUUGGUUUCUGUCCUGUGUUUGAUACUUGUAUUACUAGCAACAGGACGAGGAAAAUUUUCAAAUUAGGAAUUGGUAAUAGUUCCUCUGAAGUUAACCAAGGCGAAUCACAUUUCUAUGGAGAAAAUAGCAAUUGUUCAGUCGACAAGAGAAACUGGAGUUUGCUAACGAGGCAAGUCGCCCGUGACAAGUUAUUUAGUUAUCGGAGUUUUUCAGUAACUAAAGACAAAUUUGGUUAAUAUUUUAGAGUCUAUGUGGAAAGCUUGAUGUAUAGAACAAGAAAAGCCCAAGAACGUGAGACAUUAUGUCUUUCAGAUCCACACCCGCAUUUUCUUGGGCAUUUCAAACAAUCUGCACACCAUUUUCUUUACAAUGAGUUUAAUCCUUAUCAUAUACAAUCUUCUCCAUGUUAGAACCAGUUAAGAUUAUUAUUAUAUACUAGAAAGAGGAGAGAACAAAUGUGUUUAAUUUGGAGAUUUUGUUUGUCUAUAUUUCUGUUUUUAUUAUUAUCAAGCAAUCGGUCAAAAAACAAACAAGUGGGAGAGUAUGAUCUUGAAAUAUAAAAUAAAUAUUAGACAAAGUUAUAUAUGUAUUUUUUUGGCCGUUGAAUUGUUGUUAAAUUGGCUUUUCGCUUGUGGAGAGUUGCAAAGAAUAUUAGUUUUAGAACUUUCAUUUUAUCUGAUGCAUAGGAGAAGGGAGGAAGGAAUUCUCAGUACCAAAUCCAUUGAAGUUUUUUUAAAAGCUAUGAAUUUGUAAAUCUUUGUUUUCAACCUUAACCAUGCUUGAUAAAAGCCCUUUAGAAUCACCUACAAUAUAAUUUGAUUGCUGGGUAUGACCAGAGCUUGUGAGUUGUUUAUGUUCAAACUGGAAUUGGUUUAUGGCAUUGAACUGCAGUAUUUUUGGCUGUACAUAAAUCCUGUUAGUAGGGUCAACUAUGCAUUUCAAUCGAAAACAUUCUGCUCAAUUUUGUGACUGGUUAAUAGCAUUCCUAUCUCACAUAUUUGAAAUUAAUGGUAUUCAUAUUACAUUCUGCUCUAUAUAUUAUACCAUCUGAACAUUUUUCCUGUUGUUGACAAGAAAAGAAAAAUUAGGGGGAUAGAGUUUUUUUCUUGCACAAACUUAUUUGACCUCAAGUUGGGAUCAAUGUUCAUCUAUCACAGAGGAAUGUGCAAAUCAUGAACCUUUACAGGAUAUCACUAAUAUAAGUUUGUAAUACUAAAAAGAAUACAUCAACAUGUAAAAGCUGAUGAAGAACAGAGGGAGAGGGCCUACCUGGUUUAAUAGUUCAGCCACUGCCCACCAGCCCACUGUCUACAGCUAAAGGACAAAAAAUUAGCAGCAAGACGGAGAUUCUGAGUUGUAUGCCUAAUUUUCGAUGCAGCCUAUCGGCCCUUAUAUAGGAUGCAAAAUUGCAAUUUACCCAUAUUCUUAGAUCAUUAUCAUGUUUUAAAAAAUUAUUGAUGCAUAGCAUGCAAAACUUUAGAGAUUGCGAAUUGCGAUGAUAUACCAAGUGCAAUUAAUAUAGUAAUAUUUGCCAAGUGUUCAUGUUGUAUCACAUGCAGGCUUUAUGUUUUUGCAUAACCUUUUUGUGUAAUUGAUAUUACUAUAUUAAUUGCGAUGAUAUACCAAGUGCAAUUAAUAUAGUAACAUUUGCCAAGUGUUCAUGUUGUAUCACAUAUAGGCUUUAUGUUUUGCAUAACCUUUUCUGUGUAUGCUUUCAGCAAGUCUGAAUUUGUCAUAUAUAAACUUAAGGAGAUAGUGAAGAUAGCUGGAAUGACAUUCAACAAAUAAGCAAACUAUUUGACCCAUUGGACAGUAGUCAAUGUGGUAAGAUUACUCUUGCUGACCUGAUGGAAACUACCUAAUACAGAAGUCAAGUCCAUAAAGAGAAAUAUUUUCCCAAUCUUGCUUGCCUUCGCAACGGCUACUUGAUUUGGUCUUUAUUUUUUAGAUAAGAUGGUCCAGCAUUGCCACCAUUUAUUGUCCACAGGCUUGAUCAAGCAAAGGACUUGCAGAGUUCAGAAUUAAGUACCAGGAGACACUGCAUGGUCCCUAAAUGAUAUGGGGUCCACUAGACAUUUCAGGUCAAUGUAAAGGAAAUCUAGGACAUGGUUGAUUCCAUCACAUUUAGCAACAAGUCUAGAG